rnacentral:rRNA from 1 species
AUUGAACGCUGGCGGAAUGCUUUACACAUGCAAGUCGAGCGGCAGCGCGGGGGCAACCCUGGUGGCGAGCGGCGAACGGGUGAGUAAUACAUCGGAACAUGCCCAGUCGUGGGGAUAACACUUCGAAAGAAGUGCUAAUACCGCAUACGUCCUGAGGGAGAUAGCGGGGGAUCUUCGGACCUCGCGCGAUUGGAGUGGCCGAUGUCAGAUUAGCUAGUUGGGGGGGUAAAGGCCUACCAAGGCAACGGUCGGGGGCUGGUCUGAGAGGAUGAUCAGCCACACUUGGACUGAGACACGGCCCAGAAUCCUACGGGAGGCAGCAGUGGGGAAUUUUGGACAAUGGGGGCAACCCUGAUUCAGCCAUUCCGCGUGAGUGAAGAAGGCCUUCGGGUUGUAAAGCUCUUUCGGCAGGAACGAAACGGCGAGCUCUAACAUAGCUUGCUAAUGACGGUACCUGAAGAAGAAGCACCGGCUAACUACGUGCCAGCCGCCGCGGUAAAAC